UACGAAGGGGGCUAGCGUUGUUCGGAAUUACUGGGCGUAAAGCGCACGUAGGCGGAUGUGUCAGUCAGGGGUGAAAUCCCGGAGCUCAACUUCGGAACUGCCCUUGAUACAGCACGUCUUGAGUCCGGAAGAGGUGGGUGGAAUUCCUAGUGUAGAGGUGAAAUUCGUAGAUAUUAGGAAGAACACCGGUGGCGAAGGCGGCCCACUGGUCCGGUACUGACGCUGAGGUGCGAAAGCGUGGGGAGCAAACAGG
rnacentral:rRNA from 1 species